GCCUGCGCCAUGUUGUGAGGACGCUCACUCCAGCAGUCCCAUGCAGAUGCCCACAUGGCAAGGAACAGCGGCCUCCUGCCAGCUGCCAGCACGGCCUGCGAGCCAUGAGCUCGAGCUGCUGUGGCCGGUCCUCCACCUCACAGGAGAACCUGAGCAGAACCGUCCAGCCAAGCUGCGGCCAUGUUCCUGGCCCACAGAAACUGUGAGGGAAUCCAUGUUUACUGUUGUGCGGAGCCCCUGAGUUUUGAGGUCACAGCCGUAGGUGAUGCCCAGGUGCGGGCGUACCUCAAAGAGAGGACAGAGCACAGAAAGGAAGGUGGCGGCUCAUUCUCUCAUCAAGCCUUAGUUGAGCAUCUGCCCGCCACCCACCACUGUAGUAGACACUCCAUUUGGUCCCUUCCCUGCCGUGGCAGAGGCUCUGGAUGGGAAUGAAUUAAACGCCCCCUUAAAAUGGUUGGAGGCAAAGUGAGAGAGAGAGAGAGAAAGAGAAAGAGACAGAGAGAAGCAAAGCAGACUCCCCACUGAGCAAGGAGACCAAUCCCAGGACCCCGGGAUCAUGACCUGAGUCGAAGGCAGACGCUUAACCAUCCAAGCCACCCAGUCGCCCUACCCCUGUCCGGUCUCUAUUUGUCCAUUUUGCUCAUGGAAUUUCAAAAGCUUAUCAAAUGCUGAGCUGAAAUUCAGAAUGUACUCUUAGCAGAAAAGAACUAUAUAAAGAGGCGGCAGUGAGGUGCAGCUGGAGAGCCACAGGGCCUGGGUCUGAAAGACGGCUCUGCCGCUCAGGAGCUGGACCACAUCAUGGGCUCCUCACCUGCCCGAGGUCCAGAUGUGGAGGCGAUAAUCAAAGCUCUUUAGAAACUGAGAAGAGCCACACAGCUCUGGGCUACUGGUAUUAUUACUAGUAUGCCUUAGCUAAAGGAUAUAAACCACAAAGCCACCGAGGAGUGAAGAGGGGGUUUUAA